rnacentral:misc_RNA from 1 species
UUAAAAUUUAAUGCAGUCUUACACCUUCACUGACCCAUGCCAUAUUUUCUCCUUCAAAACCAGACAAAGCAGCAGCAACUCAUCGCUCUCUCUCUAUAAACCUCACACUUUCUCUAUCUAAAACCCACCAGUAUCAAUUCCAAUUCCAUGGCUUCUGCAAAUCCAAAUCACCAUCUGCGUCUCUCUCUUCUCUCUGUAUUGCUUUUCCUUUCUCUCUCUGAACUCUCUUUUUCUGUACGGGACCCAGUUUCAGUCUAUGAAAUCUUGCCCAAGUAUGGCCUCCCAAGCGGACUAUUACCCGAUUCAGUAACAAACUAUUCGCUCUCAGAUGACGGUCGCUUCAUUGUUCUUCUGGAGAAGCCGUGCUAUAUUCAAUUCGAUUACUUGGUCUAUUACGAUAAGCAAAUUUCUGGCAAGUUAAAUUACGGGUCAAUCACGGAUUUGAAAGGGAUUGAGGUUCAAAGGUUCUUUUUGUGGUUCAGUGUUGAUGAGAUCAAGGUUGAUUUGCCUCCCUCCGAUUCUAUUUACUUCCAGGUGGGCAUAAUCAAUAAGAAACUUGAUGUUGAUCAGUUUAAGACCGUCCACUCUUGCCGUAAUAAGGUCUCUGGGUCCUGUGUCGGAUUCUGGAAUCGAAUUAUGGAGGUAUUGAUUUGUUUUGGUUAUUUGUGACUUUAUUUUAACGAAUUUCUUUAGCUAUUUUAGAUCAAUAAUCUGAAUUGAUGUUGACUAAAUUAUGUUCUGAUAUUGAUCGUUGGAUAAUAGUUCCUGUUAUCAUGUAUUCCUUUAUGGAUUAAUUAUUUAUGGUUGUGUAUUUAGGAUAAUUUAAUAAACCUUAGAAAUAUUUUUGGAAUUGAUUUCUAUUGUUCUGUAGCUCCACGCAAUUGAUAUUUUAUAACUGGGUUUUUGGAAUUAGGAAUCAUAUUAAAACCUUUAAAAAAAUAAUAAUAAAGGAAGGUGCUUGUGACUCUCCAAAUGAUCUUGCUUUUCUGAACUAGAAUCAUUGCUGUUUACAUGUGAAUUUUCGUGUUCCAGUUCCAGGGAGUUAGUUUCCAAUGGUGAAGUCCUUCUCUAUAAAGUGAUUGGAUUGGACAUGUUUGGAUCAGUACUUCAUAUGGGUUGGAUUUUGGUGGAGCCUUAGCAUAGGCCAAAAACAUUUUCUUCUGGUGAAAUAGAUGGCUACUUGAAUUUAUGUGUUUUUGACUGUUAACAGUCUUGCGUGCUUUGGAAUGUUUUGUCUUAUUUAGGUUUGGCACCUCUAUGUGCUUAUACAACAAAAUCUCUUAACCGUUUUCAUUCCCCUUGAAUCUAAUAAUGCUUCAAGUAUAGUUCUCCUGGCAGUUGAUCAGAAGCAUAUUUACAUUUGCAUACCUUAUUUUAGAUUGUUACAUCUCUACAGUAGGCAAAAUAUUCCAAUAAUAAUCAGUGCUGAAUUAUGAUCUGUUUGCGUGGGAGUCUAUACUAAGAGUUGAGAUUUGAUCCUUCUUGACCAUUUCUGCUUUACUCUCUGUAGUUUAUCUUAAAUUGUUGCCUCAUUUUUUUAACAAUUUGCAGCUUCCAACUCCCACGGAUGAUAUUCAGAUGCUAAUUACCGAGUAGAGGCAACCAAGUGUUUCUGCUGUAUUGUAAGGUAGCUGAUAAACUUUGAUAUUCCAGUCAUGGUCAUUUUCGGACUCACAAACUAAGAGUCUGUAAGAGUCAUGUAUAAACUAGUCAUGAGAAUUUGCCCCCUUAUUGAGCUUAAUCAUAUCAAUGAGCUGGGGAGAAGUUAUAUGUAUACAUUAGAUGUGUCAGUUAUCAUGUGUGUUGAUCAAUUGUACUAAGG